rnacentral:rRNA from 1 species
UACAGAGGGUGCGAGCGUUAAUCGGAAUUACUGGGCGUAAAGCGUGCGUAGACGGUUAUUUAAGUCGGAUGUGAAAGCCCCCGGCUCAACUGGGGAGGGUCAUUCGAUACUGAUCGACUCGAAGGCAGGAGAGGGUAGUGGAAUUCCCGGUGUAGCGGUGAAAUGCGCAGAUAUCAGGAAGAACACCCGUGGCGAAGGCGGUUCUCUGGGACGGUACUGACGCUGAGACGCGAAAGCGUGGGGAGCGAACAGG